UACGGGGGGGGCAAGCGUUGUUCGGAAUUACUGGGCGUAAAGGGUGCGUAGGCGGGUCUUUAAGUCAGGGGUGAAAUCCUGGAGCUCAACUCCAGAACUGCCUUUGAUACUGAAGAUCUUGAGUCCGGGAGAGGUGAGUGGAACUGCGAGUGUAGAGGUGAAAUUCGUAGAUAUUCGCAAGAACACCAGUGGCGAAGGCGGCUCACUGGCCCGAUACUGACGCUGAGGUGCGAAAGCGUGGGGAGCAAACAGG
rnacentral:rRNA from 1 species